GAUGAACGCUGGCGGCGUGCCUAACACAUGCAAGUCGAGCGAACAGACGAGGUGCUUGCUCCUUCGACGUUAGCGGCGGACGGGUGAGUAACACGUAGGUAACCUACCUAUAAGACUAGGAUAACUUCGGGAAACCGGAGCUCAUACCGGAUAAUAUUUCGAACCGCAUGGUUCGUUAGUGAAAGAUGGCUUUGCUAUCACUUAUAGAUGGACCUGCGCCGUAUUAGCUAGUUGGUAAGGUAACGGCUUACCAAGGCAACGAUACGUAGCCGACCUGAGAGGGUGAUCAGCCACACUGGAACUGAGACACGGUCCAGACUCCUACGGGAGGCAGCAGUAGGGAAUCUUCCGCAAAGGGCGAAAGCCUGACGGAGCAACGCCGCGUGAGUGAUGAAGGUCUUCGGAUCGUAAAACUCUGUUAUUAGGAAAGAACAAACGUGUAAGUAACUGUGCACGUCUUGACGGUACCUAAACAGAAAGCCACGGCUAACUACGUG
rnacentral:rRNA from 1 species